rnacentral:rRNA from 1 species
GGGGCUUGCGCCAUAUUAGUUAGUUGGUAGGGUAAUGGCCUACCAAGACGAUGAUGUGUAGCUGGACUGAGAGGUUGAACAGCCACAUUGGGACUGAGACACGGCCCAAACUCCUACGGGAGGCAGCAGUAGGGAAUUUUCGGCAAUGGAGGAAACUCUGACCGAGCAACGCCGCGUGAACGACGAAGUACUUUGGUAUGUAAAGUUCUUUUAUCAAGGAAGAAAAGCAAGUGGUGAACCAUUUGUUUGCCGGUACUUGAUGAAUAAGCCCCGGCUAAUUAUGUGCCAGCAGCCGCGGUAAGACAUAAGGGGCAAGUGUUAUCCGGAAUUAUUGGGCGUAAAGGGUGCGUAGGCGGUCUAGUAAGUCAGUGGUGUAAUGGCAACGCUCAACGUUGUCCGGCUAUUGAAACUGCUAAACUUGAGUUAGAUAGAGGCGAGUGGAAUUCCAUGUGUAGCGGUAAAAUGCGUAAAUAUAUGGAGGAACACCAGAGGCGUAGGCGGCUCGCUGGGUCUUAACUGACGCUGAGGCACGAAAGCGUGGGGAGCAAACAGGAUUAGAUACCCUGGUAGUCCACGCCGUAAACGAUGAGUACUAAGUGUCGGGUUAAACCGGUACUGAAGUUAACACAUUAAGUACUCCGCCUGAGUAGUACGUACGCAAGUAUGAAACUUAAAGGAAUUGACGGGACUCCGCACAAGCGGUGGAUCAUGUUGUUUAAUUCGAAGAUACCCGAAAAACCUUACCAGGUCUUGACAUGUUUUUGCGAAACGGUAGUAAUAUCGUGGAGGUUAUCAGAAACACAGGUGGUGCAUGGUUGUCGUCAGCUCGUGUCGUGAGAUGUUAGGUUAAGUCCUAAAACGAGCGAAACCCUUAUCGUUAGUUGCCAGCACGUUAUGGUGGGGACUUUAACGAGACUGCCAGUGAUAAAUUGGAGGAAGGUGAGGAUCACGUCAAAUCAGCAUGCCCCUUAUGACCUGGGCUACAAACGUGAUACAAUGGCUGUUACAAAGGGUAGCUGAAACGCAAGUUCUUGGCCAAUCCCCAAAAACAGUCUCAGUCCGGAUUGAAGUCUGCAACUCGACUUCAUGAAGUGGAAUCGCUAGUAAUCG